rnacentral:rRNA from 1 species
CAGGGGGUGCAAACGUUGCUCGGAAUUAUUGGGCGUAAAGCGCGCGUAGGCGGCUACUUAAGUCGGAUGUGAAAGCCCCUGGCUUAACUGGGGAAGUGCACCCGAAACUGAGUAGCUAGAGUGCGAAAGAGGGUCGCGGAAUUCCCGGUGUAGAGGUGAAAUUCGUAGAUAUCGGGAGGAACACCGGUGGCGAAGGCGGCGACCUGGGUCGACACUGACGCUGAGGCGCGAAAGCGUGGGGAGCAAACAGGAUUAGAUACCCUGGUAGUCCACGCCGUAAACGAUGGGUGCUAGAUGUUUCUGGUAUUGACCCCGGAGGCGUCGCAGCUAACGCGUUAAGCACCCCGCCUGGGGAGUACGGCCGCAAGGCUA